AUGGACAUUGUCCCAAUAAACAUCUAUUUUGUUUUGCUUUAUUGUUUUCUUUUGCAUAUUAACCAGAGGCUGAAUCACAGAACCAGAUUGAAGGCCAUAACCUCGACUUCUACAGCAUAUGGGAUGUGUUUUGACAGAAGCAGAGCUCUGGGACGUGUGGACAGACAUUACUGUAAUGAUGGCCGUCUGCUCAAGGACAGAAGCAUAAGCCCUGCUGGACAUUGCUCUAGGACUCGGGGGGGACCCGAAUCAUCCCCAUCCCUUCAUUCACACAACACUCACUCAUAUCGCAGAGACCUGGCUGGGAUUGAACCAGCAACCUCUGAACCGUGAGGCAGCGCUCUUACCUGUGAGCCACAGAUCUCUUGCUUGAGUUUGUGCUGGAACUUAUAUUUCACUGUUCACCUGUAUGUGAUUCUACAAUAAACCAGUUAAAGCUUUCA
ensembl:lncRNA